rnacentral:rRNA from 1 species
CCUACGGGUGGCAGCAGUGGGGAAUAUUGGACAAUGGGGGGAACCCUGAUCCAGCCAUGCCGCGUGUGUGAAGAAGGCCCUCGGGUUGUAAAGCACUUUCAGUGAGGAAGAACGCCUGGUGGUUAAUACCCAUCAGGAAAGACAUCACUCACAGAAGAAGCACCGGCUAACUCCGUGCCAGCAGCCGCGGUAAUACGGAGGGUGCGAGCGUUAAUCGGAAUUACUGGGCGUAAAGCGCGCGUAGGUGGCUUGAUAAGCCGGUUGUGAAAGCCCCGGGCUCAACCUGGGAACGGCAUCCGGAACUGUCAAGCUAGAGUGCAGGAGAGGAAGGUAGAAUUCCCGGUGUAGCGGUGAAAUGCGUAGAGAUCGGGAGGAAUACCAGUGGCGAAGGCGGCCUUCUGGACUGACACUGACACUGAGGUGCGAAAGCGUGGGUAGCAAACAGGAUUAGAUACCCAGGUAGUC